rnacentral:rRNA from 1 species
CUUAGUCAAGGAGAGAAUCCUAAGGUGCUCGAGUGAGUCAUGGUUAAGGAACUCGGCAAAUUAAUCCUGUAACUUCGGGAAAAGGGAUGCCAGCAGCAAUGCUGGUCGCAGAGAAAUGGCCCAGGCGACUGUUUAACAAAAACACAGGGCUACGCGAAAUCGAAAGAUGAAGUAUGUGGCCUGACACCUGCCCGGUGCUGGAAGGUUAAGAGGGGAUGUUAGUCGCAAGGCGAAGCAUUGAAUCGAAGCCCCAGUAAACGGCGGCCGUAACGAUAACGGUCCUAAGGUAGCGAAAUUCCUUGUCGGGUAAGUUCCGACCUGCACGAAUGGUGUAACGAUCUGGGCGCUGUCUCGACCAUGAGCUCGGUGAAAUUGAAGUAGCGGUGAAGAUGCCGCUUACCCGUCACGGGACGGAAAGACCCCAUGCACCUUUACUAUAGUUUUGCAUUGAUAUUGGGUAAAUGAUGUGUAGGAUAGGUGGGAGACUAUGAUGCGGUGCCGCUAGGUAUCGUGGAGUCAACGUUGAAAUACCACCCUUUAUUUACUUGGUGUCUAACGGCGCAACGCGCCAGACAGUGCAUGAUGGGUAGUUUGACUGGGGUGGUCGCCUCCAAAAGAGUAUCGAGGCUUCUAAAGGUAUGCUCAGUACGCUUGGUAACCGUACGUAGAGUGCAUAGCAUAAGCAUGCUUGACUGUGAGACCUACAAGUCGAGCAGGGACGAAAGUCGAGUAUAGUGAUCCGGUGGUUCCGCAUGGAAGGGCCAUCGCUCAAAGGAUAAAAGGUACGCUGGGGAUAACAGGCUGAUCUCCCCCAAGAGCUCAUAUCGACGGGGAGGUUUGGCACCUCGAUGUCGGCUCGUCACAUCCUGGGGCUGGAGAAGGUCCCAAGGGUUCGGCUGUUCGCCGAUUAAAGUGGCACGCGAGCUGGGUUCAGAACGUCGUGAGACAGUUCGGUCCCUAUCUGUGAUGGGCGUUGGAAAUUUGAGAGGGCCUGACCUUAGUACGAGAGGACCGGGUUGGACCAACCUCUGGUGUAUCUGUUGUGCCGCCAGGUGCAGUGCAGAGUAGCCACGUUGGGUUAAGAUAAGCGCUGAAAGCAUCUAAGUGCGAAACUUGCCUCAAGAUGAGAUUUCCUUACAGGAUCGUCAGAGACUAUGACGUUGAUAGGCUGCAGGUGUAAAGUCAGUAAUGGCAAAGCCGAGCAGUACUAAUUAUCCGA